GCAUAUCAAUAAGCGGAGGAAAAGAAAAUAACRAUGAUUCCCCCAGUAACGGCGAGUGAACAGGGAAAAGCUCAAAGUUGGAACCUCCUGGCCCUAGGCCUGGCGGAUUGUAAACUAAAGCUCUCGAGUAGUUUGGCUAGCCCAGUAAUCAAGUUCUCUGGAAAGGGACGACAAAGAGGGUGAAAUCCCCGUUUUUGGCUGGAGCAUAGUCUUGCGUUUGCUUGGAAGCGAAGAGUCAGGUUGUUUGGUAUUGCAGCCUAAAGCUGGAGGUAAAUCUCUCCUAAAGCUAAAUAUUGACGAAAGACCGAUAGCGAACAAGUACCGUGAGGGAAAGAUGAAAAGCACCUUGAAAAGGGGGUCAAAAAAGUACGUGAAAUUGCUGAAAGGGAACCGUAUGAAAUCAGCCUGUCCCUUUGGUAAUCAACCUGGACUUUGGUCUGGGUGCACUUGCCAGUGGGUACAGCCUGCGACAAUUUGAUUUGGGGGAAAAAAUCAGGGGGAAUGUGGCCUCGGCUUCGGUCGUGGUGUUAUAGCCCUUUGAAAAAUACCCUGGGUUGGAUUGAGGACUGCAGCGAGCCCUUUUGGGGGAUGAACUGUGGGCGCUUGGUUCGUGUUGGGAGGAAAUCUCUACUUUGGGUAGUGUUCUUCCAGCAUGGGCCAACCCGCCUACUUUUUCUUUUUCUCGCUUAGGUCGCAGGCCUAAUGAUUUUAUAUGACCCGUCUUGAAACACGGACCAAGGAGUCCACCAUAGUUGCGAGUCUUUGGGUGUAAAAACCCAUAGGCGGAAGGAAACUGACCUAGAUAUGAAGGCCGCAAGGCUGGCAAUAUCCUCCAGCGAGGACGUUUUAUACUGAAUUGACUGAGAGAAAGCACCUAUGAUGGGACCCGAAAGAUGGUGAACUAUACUUGAAUAGGGUGAAGCCAGAGGAAACUCUGGUGGAAGCUCGUAGCGAUUCUGACGUGCAAAUCGAUCGUCAAAUUUGAGUAUAGGGGCGAAAGACUAAU
rnacentral:rRNA from 1 species